CAUUUUUCCAUAACAACAAACGUACGACACCAUUAUUUUGACCGUUCUCUUUGGCUAAUUAUUUUGUUGUUUCAUUAUUCAAGGAACCAACAACGUGACUUCCAUUUAUAUGGAAACAACGCAGUUUUGAAUUGAUAGAGUACCAACGUGACUUGGUAUUUUACGGAAGAAAAAUGUAAUUUUUUCUCAAGAACAACAUUCGGGUUUUGCUCACCGCUUCGAUCUCGUUGUUCCGUCUUAUCGUGUUGUUGAAUCCGGGUUUUCUUCGUAGUGAAGUAAGGUGGAAGAAGAUUAUUUCUUGGAAUAUAAGAUUGGCGAAGCCCGAAGUUAUGGUUAACUUGAGAAGCGACAAGGUACAGAUACUCGAUUUGGCGAUCCUCCAUCUUAGGACUUCUACUCAGCUGUCUUGGAGAGCUCCAUUGUUUCGGAGCCUAGACUUUUGGUACAAAUCCUUUUUGAUGUAUAUAUAUGUUUACCCAGGGGUACGACGGGGCCCUGUCCCGUUAUAUUUCACUAUCGAUACUCUUAGAGGUCUGUAGACAUAUGUGUGGGUUGUGUAUAAGUAUUUUUCAGCUGUGUCUAUAUGGCUUACGUAUGAUAUUGGCAUGUUGUGACAGCCUUGUCGGCUUACGUAUGGUAUUGACUUUUUGUGGUAGCCUUGUCGGCUUG